GGCGGCGUGCCUAACACAUGCAAGUCGAACGGGGGUUCGGAAGCUUGCUUUCCGAAGCCUAGUGGCGGACGGGUGAGUAACGCGUGGGUAACCUGCCUCAUACAGGGGGAUAGCAGCUGGAAACGGCUGGUAAUACCGCAUAAGCGCACGGUAUCGCAUGAUACAGUGUGAAAAACUCCGGUGGUAUGAGAUGGACCCGCGUCUGAUUAGCUGGUUGGUGAGGUAACGGCCCACCAAGGCGACGAUCAGUAGCCGACCUGAGAGGGUGACCGGCCACAUUGGGACUGAGACACGGCCCAGACUCCUACGGGAGGCAGCAGUGGGGAAUAUUGCACAAUGGAGGAAACUCUGAUGCAGCGACGCCGCGUGAGUGAAGAAGUAGUUCGCUAUGUAAAGCUCUAUCAGCAGGGAAGAUAGUGACGGUACCUGACUAAGAAGCUCCGGCUAAAUACGUG
rnacentral:rRNA from 1 species